CGUUCUCAUAGACUCUUCAUUUUAAUGGUGACAAGAGAGCUUGUGAUUCUAAUGGGGACGAGAGAGCAAAACAAGUCAGAGGUAUCGUUCUAAACCUAUGAAUCAAUUUUGCUAUUAGAAUAAGAGUUUUGUAUUUGUAUGUGGCAUCUUAAUUAACGGGUUUCUUUCUUUCUUUUGGGUGAAACGAAACAAACGGGUGUGUAUUCAUGUUCCAACCAAGACAAUGAAUCAGAUUUAUUCAAGGACCAAGUAGAUUCAUAACUAAAACGGUCGUUGGCGUUCUUACAGUAAGUGACAACAUCAAAUUGAUCGAUGUGAAGGUAAUCUAGUUCUUUAUUCCCUUGUCACUUCCAUAAAAGUGAGUCGAAUAUGCUUUUUAGAAGGUAAUCUAGGUCUUUGUCUUGUCCCCUUCCUCUUAAUUUUUUUUUUCUUUCUAAUGUGUUGAAUCUUUUCACUGCAUGCAAAGGAGUGUUAAAAACUUUUUUGUUUUGAAGGAUGAAGUAGAUACAGAACAAAAACGGUUGCCGGCGUAAGACAAUGGGAGAUAUACUAUGUUUUGAAGAAUGAAGAAGGUUCAUAACCAAAGAAAAACAAACUGAGGGAUGACUGACUCAAGUCAACAACAACAACGGGAAAAAUCUUCUUGAUGGAUGAUCAGAGGACAUGGCUUUUCUUCUUCAACUCUCAUAUGAUUUGGCAAGAACCUCCACUAUGAGAAAAUGAUCUUGAUGAUGGAGAUUUUGUUUUGUAUGGUUCACUCUCUCUCUUCGCAUGCAUAAUUUUAGGGAUGACCAGCCCAACAACAACAACAACAAAUCACCACCAACAAUGGAAAAAAUCCUCUCUUCUCUUGUCUACUCUUAGAAUCCAAGCAUUGUUGAUGAAUAAUCUGGUCGAGUAUUGUUUCCUGCCUUUGCAAGUGAUAGAUGUUAAGAGGACAUGGCGUUUCUUCUUCAACUCUCUCAUCUACUUUGCUCUCUACAAAAACAAGUCAUCAGUGAAGGAGAGAAGAAGCUCAAUCGUCGACAAGCAGACUUCAUUGCUGUUUACGAACAAGUCAGGCAAGCCAUCCCAUUACUCAACAAAAUUACUCAAUGUGUUCGGCUCAGUUCCCCAUCCAUAAGGUUGAUGCUGGAUUAUGGACCCAAACGAUGGAAAAAAAACCUCCUCUUCUUAUUGCUCUGUGCAACUGAAGUGGAACUCGACAAGGCACCAAAAUUCAAAGCAAAACCCUAUGAACAAAAAGGAUGGUGAUGUUACAAAUAGCACUACCAAUCUGAUUGAGGAAAAUUAUAGCCAUCACAAAUUUUAUGAUGUUAUGAAAUGUAGGAGAUAUGAUAUGGUUUGAAGAAUGAUUUAGAACCAAAAAGUUUAUAUCUUGUUACAGAUGAUCUUUGUUUCCGAAAUUGCACUCACGGUUUUGCUAUCGAUUACCAACUUAAUUAUACCAUGUAAAAAGGGAAAGAACAUAUGAUUGAUGAUGAAAGAUAGAAAAAAAAAAAAAAAAAAACAUAAACCCUGGAUGGUUUUGGUGGAUGUUUCCAGUGUUUGAAUAAUCUCGCCUAGUUCUUUAUUUGUUUCAGUCAUCUCUUUCUAAGAUUUCCUCAAUUUUUAUAU